GACGAACGCUGGCGGCGUGCUUAACACACGCAAGUCGAACGGAAAGGCCUGCUUUCCCUUGUGGAUUGCGGGUACUCGAGUGGCGAACGGGUGAGUAACACGUGAGUGAUCUGCCCCCAACUUGGGUAUAAGCCUGGGAAACUGGGUCUAAUUCCCGAUAGGACUGCAGGGUGGUGCCUGUGGUGGAAAACGAUUUUCUAGUGGUUGGGGAUGAGCUCGAGGCCUAUCAGCUUGUUGGUGGGGUAAUGGCCUACCAAGGCGGCGACGGGUAGCCGGCCGGGGAGGGUGGACGGCCACAUUGGGACUGGGAUACGGCCCAGACUCCUACGGGAGGCAGCAGUGGGGAAGAUUGGACAAUGGGCGGAAGCCUGAUGCAGCGACGCAGCGUGGGGGAUGACGGCCUUCGGGUUGUAAACUCCUUUCGACCGCGAGGAAGCCACCUGGUUGGAAGGGUGGUGACGGUAGUGGUAGAAGAAGCACCGGCUAACUACGUG
rnacentral:rRNA from 1 species